rnacentral:rRNA from 1 species
UGGCGGACGGGUGAGUAAUGUCUGGGAAACUGCCCGAUGGAGGGGGAUAACUACUGGAAACGGUAGCUAAUACCGCAUAACGUCGCAAGACCAAAGAGGGGGACCUUCGGGCCUCUUGCCAUCGGGUGUGCCCAGAUGGGAUUAGCUAGUAGGUGGGGUAACGGCUCACCUAGGCGACGAUCCCUAGCUGGUCUGAGAGGAUGACCAGCCACACUGGAACUGAGACACGGUCCAG